AUGAUGGUGUGCUGCAGCUACUGGCUUCCGCUUCUCGUGUGGCCACUACUGAUGACAUUAGCAAGUGGAACA